UACAGAGGUCUCAAGCGUUGUUCGGAUUCAUUGGGCGUAAAGGGUGCGUAGGCGGCGCGGUAAGUCGGGGUGUGAAAUCUCGGAGCUUAACUCCGAAACUGCAUUCGAUACUGCCGUGCUUGAGGACUGGAGAGGAGACUAGGAAUUUACGGUGUAGCGGUGAAAUGCGUAGAUAUCGAGAGGAACACCUGCGGCGAAGGCGGGUAGCUGGGCCGACACUGACGCUGAGGCGCGAAAGCCAGGGGAGCGAACGGG
rnacentral:rRNA from 1 species